rnacentral:rRNA from 1 species
UGGGGAAUAUUGGACAAUGUGCGCAAGCCUGAUCCAGCCAUACCGCGUGGGUGAAGAAGGCCUUCGGGUUGUAAAGCCCUUUUGUUGGGAAAGAAAUCCAGCUGGUUAAUACCCGGUUGGGAUGACGGUACCCAAAGAAUAAGCACCGGCUAACUUCGUGCCAGCAGCCGCGGUAAUACGAAGGGUGCAAGCGUUACUCGGAAUUACUGGGCGUAAAGCGUGCGUAGGUGGUCGUUUAAGUCUGUUGUGAAAGCCCUGGGCUCAACCUGGGAACUGCAGUGGAAACUGGACGACUAGAGUGUGGUAGAGGGUAGCGGAAUUCCUGGUGUAGCAGUGAAAUGCGUAGAGAUCAGGAGGAACAUCCAUGGCGAGCANCUNCA